rnacentral:rRNA from 1 species
AUACGGAGGAUCCGAGCGUUAUCCGGAUUUAUUGGGUUUAAAGGGUGCGUAGGUGGUUUGAUAAGUCAGCGGUGAAAGUUUGCAGCUUAACUGUAAAAAUGCCGUUGAAACUGUCGGACUUGAGUGUAAAUGAGGUAGGCGGCAUGCGUGGUGUAGCGGUGAAAUGCAUAGAUAUCACGCAGAACUCCGAUUGCGAAGGCAGCUUACUAAGCUACAACUGACACUGAAGCACGAAAGCGUGGGGAUCAAACAGGAUUAGAUACCCUGGUAGUCCACGCAGUAAACGAUGAUUACUAGCUGUUUGCGAUACACAGUAAGCGGCGCAGCGAAAGCGUUAAGUAAUCCACCUGGGGAGUACGCCGGCAACGGUGAAACUCAAAGGAAUUGACGGGG